rnacentral:lncRNA from 13 species
GUGAAUUCCUAACAUUCAUUUCAAUCAAAGUUGAGCAUUGCCAAAGCUAUCUUAUUACACACUUCAGUCUCACAAUCCUCUAACUGAUUAUUGAUCCAUGUUUUGUUCCCUUUUCUAGAAUCUGUUGGACCUCUUGGACAUGCUUUCCCCCGACCACUACAACGUCUCUACAGCAGGGGCUGAUUGGCCUACGAGACCAGACAGUACUCCACCUUGUACCUCCCCACACACACAGCGUUUGCUCUUCAGUAAGUCAUAUGGAUAGACAGCGUGUGGAAAUGAUAACCAGCAAGCUGAUGUAAAGAUCAAAUCUAAUAAUUUUGAGUUUGAAAGACAUUGUCGAAAUGCCUUAUUUUAUUGGGUAGAUGGGGAGGUUCUUUCAAGGUUGACAUUAUGCUUCGGUGCGAAACUUGAACUUGAAUGUUGACAUGUCGGGCACUGAAGCUGAAUGAAUAUGCCAGCGUUGUGGUAAACUUUGCAUUGGCUUAUGAAACUGGUCUUCAAUGUGUUUAAAUGACCAGUUACCCUGUCUGAAACACGACAAUUACAUUUCACUCCACUUUGAAUGCAAAAUAGCCUUAUUUGGCUUGCUAAUUUGCAUCAGUCACAAUUGCAUAGACAAGACUGUCAAGACUGUUUGUGGUUGAAGAUGCAGUGUGAGCCUGUGGGAGAUGUGUGUGUCAGGUUUUCAGAUGAGGCUGGGAGGCCUGGGUGGAGGAAAGGAGUCUGCUUGCAGUGCUGUCAGAGGAAGCGGAGGAGUUGCUACAGCUGAGACUGGGAUCUGGACUACUCACCUUCAUCAGUACCUGGAGCCGAGGCUACUCAAUACCAACAGAUACACGUGCACAUAUGUACACACACACAGUCAUGUCCUCAUCAUGUCCUGAAAUAGAUGUCAUUAGAAUGGUUGACGUGACAAAUAUGUCUCCUAUUACAAUGUUAUGAAAAUCCAUAGAGCAUAUCGUUUAUUUUUGCCCUUAAGACAAAGCUCAAUGACUAUUUCCACGCAUAGACACUGUGGUUCACACAUAGACACUGCAGGCACAAUGUCCUCUACAGUGGAGUGUCUCUAUACCAGUUGCCUACUGAUCCACCACAUCUCUCUCUGUGUGUCCUCUUCCUCUGGGCAGGUUUCAAGCAGAGGGAUGGAGAGUGGCACUGGCUGGCCCUGUCUGUCUCUCUGUCCAGACUGGAGAUGUAUGCUGACUGCUGCCUGUCAGACUGUAGACCCUGGAGGUCUCCACCCAAGGUCUCAUUCUGCUGGGUGGGGCCAUCCAGCCCUACCACAAACCCUUUACCGGGGGUCCUGGACCACCAGGGAUGCCUGGGCCUCCAGGAAGACCUGGGAAUGAUGGGAUUGAUUGCAUAGAUUCUGAUGGCACUCCAGGACCACAUGGGGAACAGGUAAGACACCUGCACAAAGACUGAAGAUGUGUUAUACUGUACAUCAAUAAAUGGAGACUGUUCCAGUGUCAGUGUAGUUGACUUGACAGAGCUCUCUACUUUUAUUAACAGGGUCUGCAGGGUUACAGAGGAGAGAAGGGGAGCAAAGGGGAGCUGAGUGAGUGGGUAAGAAUGACUAGGACUUCUGAAGUUUCAUAGAUUAACCCAUACAAACACAUUACAUAUCAAUGGACAGAUGACAGAAACUCAUCAAAGUCAAACUCAUCUAAGUAAAUGUUUUAAGCAGGG